GGGGCUGUAGCUCAGCUGGGAGAGCACCUGCUUUGCAAGCAGGGGGUCAUCGGUUCGAUCCCGAUCAGCUCCA
rnacentral:tRNA from 1 species